rnacentral:lncRNA from 1 species
AAAUGGGCCCACAACAUUAGAUGUGUCAACAAGUGUGCGUCUGGGAGGAGGUUGUUCUGCUGCCAUCUCCUUUGAGUCUUGUGUAAGAGUCUCUGGUGAAGAUCGUAAAAGUCUUUUAGGAGAGGGGAAUAAUUCAUGUGAUGGCUUUCUUACUUUCCUCCCCCUCUUGUCACUCAAUCCUUCGAGUAGAGGCUGUUGAUUUUUCUUGCUCCUAGUUUGAAUUGUAUCAUGCAUCCACAAGAAACAAAAACCCUAGAAGCACUUUUAUAGAAAAAGAAAAAUAAAAAUAAAAACUAAAACAAAAUAUAUACAAAGUCAAAUUCAAUCAAAAUCACACUACUAAUAAAGUUAAACCACGUGUCCCCGGC